UACUAUACCAUUUUAUACAAAAACCUUGAUCCAUAUGUAUUUUUUGUUUUGUUAUACUUGGCGUGACACGACUGAACUGCUUGUUGUCUCUGAUGAAUUUACUGUGUGAUGCCUGUAUGCCUGCCUGUGAUGCAUUUUUUUUUAAGUUCUCUUACGUGACCAGGGAAUAUAGUAAUAACAAGUGGCUGAAUGUGUGAGUAUAAUGCAUAUAUAGGUUGUAUAUGUAUUUAUAAGGAAU